CCUACGGGAGGCAGCAGGGAGGAAUAUUGGUCAAUGGGCGCGAGCCUGAACCAGCCAAGUAGCGUGAAGGAUGACUGCCCGACGGGUUGUAAACUUCUGUUAUAAAGGAAGAAAGUGAGGCACGUGGGCCGUUUUGUAUGUACGUUAUGAAUAAGGAUCGGCUAACUCCGUGCCAGCAGCCGCGGUAAUACGGAGGAUCCGAGCGUUAUCCGGAUUUAUUGGGUUUAAAGGGAGCGUAGAUGGGUUGUUAAGUAAGUUGUGAAAGUUUGCGGCUCAACCGUAAAAUUGCAAUUGAUACGGGCAGUCUUGAGUACAGUUGCGGUAGGCGGAAUUCGUGGUGUAGCGGUUAACUGCUUAGCUAUCACGA
rnacentral:rRNA from 1 species